AUGGCGCAGGAGGACGAGCUCGCCGCCGCCGCGGCGGAGGAGGACGCGGCCGCGGCGGCCGCCGACGACGACGGGGAGGAGGGGGAGGAGGAGGAGGCCGGCGGGGCGGGGAGGCCGAGGGCGAGGCUGACGAGGGAGCAGCGGGAGCUGCAUCGGUUCCGGAACGUGCUGCGGAAGGACGACUUCAUAUGCCUCGAGAGGGUCAAGGGCCAGCUCGUCAACAUCCUCGCCGGCCUGGAGCUCCACGCCGGCGUGUUCAGCACCGCCGAGCAGAAGCGCAUCGUCGACUGCGUCUACGGCCUGCAGGAGAUGGGAAAGCGCGGGGAGCUUGGAGAUCGUACAUAUACAGAACCUGAGAAAUGGAUGCGUGGUAAAGGGCGGGUAACAAUUCAAUUUGGAUGCUGUUAUAACUAUGCUACGGACAGGAAAGGAAAUCCACCAGGCAUCAUUCGAACUUUUGUUUCUGAUCCGAUCCCUGAACUAUUUAAGGUCAUGAUCAAGAGAUUGGUAAGGUGGCGUAUUCUGCCAACGGAUUGUGUGCCAGACAGUUGCAUUGUCAACAUGUAUGACCCUGGAGAUUGCAUUCCACCACAUAUAGACAGCCAUGAUUUUGUUCGACCAUUUUGUACUGUUUCAUUCCUCAGUGAAUGCGACAUACUUUUUGGGUCUAGUCUGAAAAUCGCUGGUCCUGGAGAAUUUACGGGCUCAUUUGCAAUUCCUCUGCCUGUUGGGUCUGUGCUCGUCAUAAAUGGCAAUGGUGCUGAUGUUGCAAAGCAUUGUGUUCCAGCGGUACCAUCCAAAAGGAUAUCCAUUACCUUCAGAAAAAUGGAUCCUGCAAAGCGUCCGUUCAGUUUCAAGGAUGACCCUGAACUGCUGAACAUCACU
rnacentral:rRNA from 1 species